rnacentral:rRNA from 1 species
AUGUACGCUGGCGGCGUGCCUAAUACAUGCCAGUCGAGCGAACAGACGAGGAGCUUGCUCCUCUGACGUUAGCGGCGGACGGGUGAGUAACACGUGGAUAACCUACCUAUAAGACUGGGAUAACUUCGGGAAACCGGAGCUAAUACCGGAUAAUAUAUUGAACCGCAUGGUUCAAUAGUGAAAGACGGUUUUGCUGUCACUUAUAGAUGGAUCCGCGCCGCAUUAGCUAGUUGGUAAGGUAACGGCUUACCAAGGCAACGAUGCGUAGCCGACCUGAGAGGGUGAUCGGCCACACUGGAACUGAGACACGGUCCAGACUCCUACGGGAGGCAGCAGUAGGGAAUCUUCCGCAAUGGGCGAAAGCCUGACGGAGCAACGCCGCGUGAGUGAUGAAGGUCUUCGGAUCGUAAAACUCUGUUAUUAGGGAAGAACAAAUGUGUAAGUAACUAUGCACGUCUUGACGGUACCUAAUCAGAAAGCCACGGCUAACUACGUG